UACGGAGGGAGCUAGCGUUAUUCGGAAUUACUGGGCGUAAAGCGCACGUAGGCGGCUUUGUAAGUUAGAGGUGAAAGCCUGGAGCUCAACUCCAGAAUUGCCUUUAAGACUGCAUCGCUUGAAUCCAGGAGAGGUGAGUGGAAUUCCGAGUGUAGAGGUGAAAUUCGUAGAUAUUCGCAAGAACACCAGUGGCGAAGGCGGCUCACUGGCCCGAUACUGACGCUGAGGUGCGAAAGCGUGGGGAGCAAACAGG
rnacentral:rRNA from 1 species